CGCGGGGCUGGGGCGCGGCGCCCAGUCUGGCUGGACAACGCUCCCGGGGAGAGACUCUCCACGCCAGGAGCCCCGCAGGGCGCUGCUCAUCAGAAUUGCUGGGAUGUAUCAGAAAUGCCCUCUCCCCAAGAUUCACCCCAAGGAGGGUGGUGCGGCGCUUGUUUCUCUCCUCUACUACUUCCGCCGGUUCUUGUCUCUUGCUAGCUCCAAAGAUUGAAGUUGGAGCAAAGGGGAACAAUAUUUCUGCGAAGAUGAAAGUCAAACCAGGAGCGGGGAGCUUGAGCUGGGUGGUGUGUUGGGCGCACAUUCCCGAAGGAUCCUGGGGAGAACCUAAAGAUUGGGCGAGCCUUCUUUCUCUCCCCACGCUCCCGCCCGCCCCUUGUGUUCCAGAGAGUUCAGAAAGUUGGGGGGAAACGCGCUGGGCUGAAAAGCGGCCGCUCACGUCCACGGUUCUAUUCAGAAAACAGUUUCAAAAUAAGUUAACCUCUGUAGGGUGUUUUUUCCCCCUUCCCUUCUAAUUGUCCCCCUUUCCCCCGCCCUGUCUCCAUUCGAGUCUGUUUUAUGUUCUUCUGCGUUGUGCCAACUAUUUUAUCUUUAUUCCUUCUCUUUCUCUGCGGCCAUUCAUUCCUUUUUGUGUGUGUGGCUUCUCCGGCUGAUGUGCGGCUGGUUACCACCCACUGCACGCUCGCUCCUGUAGCUGAGGUGUUUCUAUACAAACUCGAGCGUCCAGUUGUCAUAUUAAUUAUUACACUGAGUAAUGACAGAAAUGGUCAAAAUAAGGGGAGACUCGAGAGCGCUUUUUCUUGCUGCUCAAAGAUUCAGCAAAGAAGCCGUGCAACAAAGCACUAAUUGGUCCCCAGAAACACUCCGACAAGGCAUGGAAGAUAGGUUUCAUAGAACCCUGCGAUUGUGAAGGGGGAAAAGCUCUGAAUGGACCCCACGCUUCCUUUCUAAACUCUCUUGCUGAGCAAAAAAUGGACCUCUGUUUGAAUACUGCCCUGAUCCUUGAAUACUAUACCCAGCAGAGAAAAAAAUGCACCAUUUAUUCUUUUUUUCUUUUCUUUUUAAGGCGUAUUGAAAGAGCAAAUAGAUUUGUUAGAAGCCUGGAUUCCUUGAUGCAGGUGCGGGCCCGGCCGCUCUGACCAAGAAGCCGAGCCAAGUCAGUGGUUUGUGCUAUUCUGCCCACUGAACAGUCCAUCCCAGGCCCGACCCAGUUCAGAGUGGGCAGCAGCGGCUUCUGAAGUUACCUUGGGAGGGUGUGCUUGGAGACUGUAGAUUAUGCAGUUGUGGACUUUUCAUUUCCCUGGGGAGGACAGUGUCAAGCACAGGCUUAGAGCCGCAUACACCAGGCAUAGAGGCCCUGUGUUAUAGCACUGGAAACCGAGGAUCUGCUAUGAAUGCCCUGCACACCCACUUUUCUCAAAGUAUCCAUGGCUUCUGGGGCUUGGUGCUCAAUAAAAUCAAGGAUUGCGC
rnacentral:lncRNA from 1 species